AGAAUCAACGCUGGCGGCGUGCCUAACACAUGCAAGUCGAACGAGAAAGUGGAGCAAUCCCUGAGUAAAGUGGCGACCGGGUGAGUAACACGUGACUAACCUACCCUCGAGUGUGGAAUAACAUCGGGAAACCGAUGCUAAUACCGCAUAACAUCGGCGCUUUUAAGAGAUGCCGAUCAAAGGAGCAAUCCGCUUGAGGAGGGGGUCGCGGCUGAUUAGCUAGUUGGCGGGGUAACGGCCCACCAAGGCGAAGAUCGGUAGCCGGCCUGAGAGGGCGCACGGCCACACUGGAACUGAAACACGGUCCAGACUCCUACGGGAGGCAGCAGUGGGGAAUUUUGCGCAAUGGGGGAACCCUGACGCAGCAACGCCGCGUGGAGGAUGAAGCCCCUUGGGGCGUAAACUCCUUUCGACCAAGACGAUAAUGACGGUACUGGUGGAAGAAGCACCGGCUAACUCUGCGCCAGCAGCCGCGGUA
rnacentral:rRNA from 1 species